UCUCGAUAGCGUAAAAGUUAACUCAAAUUAGUAUGGGAGUUGGAACGUUUGCCUACGUUUGCCGCUAGGGGCGCUGUCCGAACUGCAUACAAACUUGAGUUAACUUUUACGCUAUCGA
rnacentral:pre_miRNA from 9 species